CGUGAUGCAGAACCUCGACGACUUUACGACAUACAACUCCACCUCGUCUCACCUCUGGAACGUGACAACGCUGUGGUACGAGAAUGACACCUAUCACAACGGCACCAACUACACGGAUCUGGCGCCGCGAAAUCAAUUCGUGCUACCGUGGUGGCGGCAGAUGAUCUGGACGCUUCUGUUCGCCGGCAUGAUCACCGUGGCGACCGGGGGUAACCUGAUAGUGAUAUGGAUCGUGUUGGCGCACCGGCGGAUGCGCACCGUCACCAAUUACUUCCUGGUGAACCUCAGCAUCGCGGACGCCAUGGUGUCGACCUUGAACGUCACCUUCAACUAUACCUACAUGCUCAACAGCCACUGGCCGUUCGGGACGCUCUACUGCAAGAUCUCCCAGUUUAUCGCGGUGCUCACGAUAUGCGCCAGCGUCUUCACCUUGAUGGCGAUAUCCAUUGACCGAUACAUGGCCAUCGUAAAUCCAUUGAAACCACGUAUGGGGAAAAAGGCGACAUUGUGCGUUGCAAUCGUAAUUUGGAUCAUCGGGGCAAUUCUGUCCUUACCAAUGCUGCUUUUCUACACGACUUAUACUCAGAACUUUAUGAACGGCGAGGUCCGCGUCGUCUGUUACAGCGAUUGGCCAAACACAGAUGACAAUGGACUCAGCUACGACGAAUAUUUGUACAACGUUAUCUUCAUGAUAUUGACGUACUUUUUACCAAUCGGAUCUAUGACGUUUACCUACGCCAGGGUCGGCCUGGAAUUGUGGGGCUCGCAAAGCAUCGGGGAGGCCACAGCCAGACAGCUCGAAAACAUUCGGAGCAAACGGAGGGUCGUAAAAAUGAUGAUAGUCGUAGUAGUAAUAUUCGCGGUGUGCUGGCUUCCGUUUCAUAUGUACUUCAUAGUAACGUCCUAUCUGCCAGAAAUUACAAAUGAACCGUACAUCCAAGAGGUAUUUCUGGGCAUAUACUGGCUGGCGAUGUCCAACAGCAUGUAUAACCCUAUAAUUUAUUGUUGGAUGAAUACCAGAUUUCGCCGUGGCUUCGCCCAGUUCUUCUUCUGGUGCCCGUGGGUGCGAGUGACGGCGGAGCCGUCUCUGUCGCGUUCGGAGGCUGUGACGUCCAGGUACAGCUGCACCGGUAGCCCGGACAUGCACACCAGAAUAUCGCGGAAUGGCACGGUGCGAAUACCGCUGCACCUGCAAUCAAUGAGAGGCGGAAACGACCGGCUGUUGGCUCAUCAUCGCGGCCAUGGCAAAAAGUGGAGGACCUCGCAGACCAGAGGACACGUGUCCUGACAGGAGGAGGAAAACUCUCAGCAACAACGAGUACACACCUGGAUAUGAAAAUAUCUAGUCCUCUUUAAUGCCCGGCACUUUUCGCCGGCCGACCGGCACGACGAUUUUCAGAUGUUGUUGGAGCAAGAAAUACUCUGGGAAAACAAACGCUUUUUAAGAUACGAUUUAGGGGUGUACAUAAUACACGUCGUAUAAUAAUGUAACUCUACAGUGUUAAUGUACAUAAUUAAAGAAAUAUUCAAAAUCAUGAUUAUUUACGAAUAAGAGAAUAAUCAAUGCAGCUGAAAAGAUCACAUUUACCAGGAAAUAGAAGCGCAAUUCAUCUCUUUGAACGGUCCAAAGCAACUCUGUAACUCAUUAAUGACGCACAUGAAAUAAUAAACAGGAUAUCACCGA
rnacentral:misc_RNA from 1 species